rnacentral:rRNA from 1 species
AACGAACGCUGGCGGCAGGCCUAACACAUGCAAGUCGAGCGAGGGCUUCGGUCCUAGCGGCGGACGGGUGAGUAACGCGUGGGAACGUGCCCCUUGGUACGGAAUAGCCCCGGGAAACUGGGAGUAAUACCGUAUGAGCUCUACGGAGGAAAGAUUUAUCGCCAAGGGAUCGGCCCGCGUUGGAUUAGGUAGUUGGUGGGGUAAUGGCCUACCAAGCCGACGAUCCAUAGCUGGUUUGAGAGGAUGAUCAGCCACACUGGGACUGAGACACGGCCCAGACUCCUACGGGAGGCAGCAGUGGGGAAUCUUAGACAAUGGGCGCAAGCCUGAUCUUGCCAUGCCGCGUGAGCGAUGAAGGCCUUAGGGUUGUAAAGCUCUUUCAGCUGGGAAGAUAAUGACUGUACCAGCAGAAGAAGCCCCGGCUAACUCCGUGCCAGCCGCCGCGGUAAUAC